AAAAAAAAAAGUAUAAUCAACUACUAUGUCUUGUACAGUUGCUCCUGAACAAGUCCUAGUAUCCGCCUACAAAGGAUUUGACUCUCUAAAGCUAACACUUGACUUAUUUACAGUAAUUCACUGUAAGCAAGUGAGAAAUUUUAGUCUUACCUGUACAAAUUGGAUGCAACAAUUACCAUACCACAGUAGUAAACAAAGCCCUGUAUCCACACAGCCUGCAUAGCUCCCAGUGGCAGUUAACAAGGUUGCAUGGGAAAAGUGUCAAAUCCUCUGGUUUUGAAAAUGAUGGCUGCACUUCAAUGACAUUUCUUGCAUACUAAUGUGGAACUGCUACAUGCACACAAUACUUAUGUUUUUCCUGAUCAAUUCCUAUUUUAAAGGGCUACUGUGCUGGGUGUAGGUGAUUACUAAUGUCAGUUCAAUUAAAAAAACUAAUCAGCAUUUGAUUUACUGUCUUAUUUAGGCAAGGAGAAGCAUGACUGCUGUACCAAAUGUGAACCAUACAUUGCUGAAUGCACAUUUAAUCAGCUGAAGAUGCCAUGGGAUUACUUUUUCUAAACUUUCAGGAUAUUGCCUAUAAAGCAUGUCAUGUGAAGUAUCAGAGAAAGAUUAUGAACUGCUAAAAGCCACUAUUCUUUGUAUGGUGGUCACUAAAACACAGUAAGUUGAGGAAUGAGCUCUCCAGACACAACAGCAAGGAGACUAACCAAUGCUAGGGUCACGUAUCCAACAGCCAUCCUCCAGCAAGGAAGCAACAACUCAGUGAAUCACCUGCAUGCGACCACACCAGGAGAAUUGCUCAACCUUGCCUGAAAAUUCAGCAAUGCCCACCUGACACACAGGGACUUGUGUUCUUCAGGCACAUCGGAGUGAGUAUAAGAGACCACAGGAGCCCCAUGCUUCACCCCACCUACGCUGCAAACAACAAAGGCACUGAAGACUAAAGGCUCUAAUAGAGCCCAGAUUUAGAGACAAAACUAUAUAUUAAGGACUGCAAUAUCCAGUGGUUAAGUUGCUUAAUCUAGUUGCUGCCCAGUCUAACAGGGUUGAGAGUUUAGACGAAGUGUUUAUAUUUUAUUUCUUUUGGUAACUAAUCUGACUUUUUUCCUAAUCACUUAUAGUCACUUAAAAUCUGUCUGUUGUACUCAAACAUGCUUUACUGUUUAUCUUUACCAGUGAGUUUGUCUGAAGCGUCUGUUUAUUUGCUCAGGUUUCACAAAGGCUGGUGUAUCUAUUUUCCACAGAUGAAGUGGUAAACCAAUUAAUAAAUUUUGCACUGCUCAUCAUCA